rnacentral:miRNA from 1 species
GCAGACACAUUCCAGCCAAUCAGCAGCAGACCCUCCCUCCCAGACCCUCCCACCUCCUGGACAGCAUCCAUUUUACAUUCAUUCUGAAGCUGCAUUCUUAGUGAGCUGUCCAGGAGAUGGGAGGGUCUGGGAGGGAGGGUCUGCUGCUGAUUGGCUGGAAUGUGUCUG